UACAGAGGUCCCAAGCGUUGUUCGGAUUCACUGGGCGUAAAGGGUGCGUAGGUGGCCAGGUAAGUUUGGUGUGAAAGCUCGGAGCUUAACUCCGAAAUGUCAUUGAAUACUAUCUGGCUGGAGGGUCGGAGGGAGACUGGAAUUCUCGGUGUAGCAGUGAAAUGCGUAGAGAUCCGGAAGAACACCGGUGGCGAAGGCGGCCCGCUGGGCAGGAAGGCUCGCAAGAGCCGGCUGACGCUGAGGCGCGACAGCGUGGGGAGCAAACAGG
rnacentral:rRNA from 1 species